UUGUACCUAAAUUAUCUUGUUGUACCUCUUGAGAAGGGAGUUGUACCUGGGUGGAAGGGUGUUGUACCUAAAUUAUCUUAAUCUACACGAAAUUUACUCUAAACUAUUAAAAAGUAAAUUCUUCUCUUCUUCUUCUUUUCUUUUUGAAAUUAUUAGUUUUAGUUUUUUUUUACUCUUUUACUUUCAUGUCAAACUUAUUCAAUUUACACUCUAAUUUCUUAAAAGGGUUAAUUGCUAAUUUAGUAUUUGAUUCACUAAACAUUCAAUUUAAU
rnacentral:lncRNA from 1 species